CCCGGCAUAUGCAAAUCUUUUAGGCAUUAUUUUUCCCUUCAUAGGCGUGAUGUGAGCAGGCCCUGGCUUGGCAGGCAUGUUGGGACGAGGCUCUGGAAUGAUGCUGUAUUCCUCCUCGACGACGACCCACAGUAAAUGCAGAGCCACUCAUCUGCAAAGCAAAGUCAAUGUAUUGUUCUAGACACCAGUGUGGGGUAUGUGGUGGCAUUAACUGAGACAUUUCCUUUGUGAGGCCAAACGGAAAAUGUUCUUGAGAGCAGUAUCACUGAAGUCCACUUGAUUACAUGAAAACCAUAAAAUCAAUCAUAAUCACUGUAAUAAUUAUAUAUAUUGCAUGUUAUAUAUUUAUAAGAAACACGCAAGAUGUCACAUAGCUAUCUUUUAGUUAAACACACUUGAUCUCUGACCGCCUGAAGAUAUGAGAGAUACUAUAAAUCGUUUACAGGAACUUGUUGAGGCCACUCCUUAAACACGUCAGUGCUCUGUUUAAAAGCGAGAGUCGAGGAUCAACAAAGGUCAGAAAACGGUAUGAAACCUACAAUGAACCCGCCAGACACCAAAUGUGUCUUGGUAAGUGUUACAACUGUUUAUGUUUUUACCUUUUUCUUUUAAAUUUUAAAAAAUUUAAUUGUCAACUACAAUUUUGUAUAAAUAUAUUUAUUCAGAAAGUAUAAAAUAGGAAGUUUUAGACAGUCUUUAGUUGUUGGAUUAAUAAAAAAAUUAUUAAAACAAUACAAUACAAUUAUUAACCAGUAACAAGCAUUUAAAUACAAUAUUUUCACUCUGGAAUGACUGAAAAGGAUUUCGUUCCUGUUUUUGGUUUCCGAAACGUUUUUGUUGUUGUUGUUGUCAUUUCUUGUACUGUUCCUAAUCUCUGAUUUAGAUACAUUUAAUUUAAGACUUACACUGAAAAAUAAAUGUACUCUCGUUAAAGCUCCGGACAAUAUUUGUGGCUGCAUGUGUAGUAACAUGCCCAGAGGACCAUUUCCAACUGCAAGAAUUGCUGUGCUGCUUGAACUGCCCAGAAGGUAUGUAUGUUGCCCGGAAUUGCUCUGGAGGACCCACAAACUACAUUGGUGUGCUAUGUAAUCCAUGCCGCAGAUGUGAAGAACUUGGAGAGAUAACUGUUUCCCAGUGCAUGCAGUUUUCAGACACACAGUGUGACAGGAAAUUGCGACGGAUAACCUUGUAUGGUUCCUCGUCUGUGAUAGCCGCUAUUUUCAUCCUGACUGUGAUUGUGGCAGCCUGCUUCUUUUGCAGAAUCCGUAAAUCAGGUGAAUCUAAUGAAAGCUCCGCAGGAGAACCAUUCCACAUUUCCAUAUAAAAGAUACAGAGACAGUCUGAAGAAAAUCUUAAACAGAGGAAAAUGUCCAGCUUUAAGAACUGUAUAUUAUCAUUCAGUGAUUCAAUAACAUUAGAAAUACUGCAAUAAACAGUUCUAAAAAGAGGACAAUAGUAAACAGUAGUAAACAAUAGUACACUAUUUAAUGUGUCUUUUGCCUUUUCAGUUUGUAAGGUAGUUGUUAAGUUUAUGUAUAAGGUAAAAUUAAGGGAUCUAAAAUGUGGACAUGGAGAGUAAGGUAAUAAUAUGUGCUUUAAGUACUAAUAAACAACAGAUAUGCAUACUAUGUAUGCUAGUAAACAACUAUUCAAUAGUGAGAAUUUGUCCUUGAUAUAUAUGUUUGUGUGUGUAGGUGUGUGCACAUCUGUUUAUAUUGAUGUUAUAUUUAGAAAUGUAUCUAUAUUCAAACAUACCUGAUGUUGCAUGAUGCUGCAUAUUGCAUAUUUUUAUUUUAUAUAAUUUGUUUUUUUUUUUAUAAAAAAAGGAAAGAAAAUAACUAUUUGGAAUUUCUAAAUUCUUAUAGUAUCUAUAGUAUCUAUAGUAUUUUUUUUAAUCAGAUAUUUGUACUUUGAAAAAUUUAUUUUAUGUUCUGCUAGCAGAAAAACAAACACAGAUACCUACAUAGCACUCUAAAUGCAAAUUUAAUUUGCACUAAUUUUAUGUUGGGAAUUGCACCUUGUAUUAAUUAUGUUGUCACAAAAUUGAUAAUGUUUCACCAGACUGUCUUAUGUUUGAUUUGAAAUUUUAACACAAGUGACUAUGAAUCUACAAUGAUUUAGACCAACAUCUUAUACAACAAUACAAAAGGAACUCUACUUGUGAGCAUUUGUUGUGAUGAAGCAUC
ensembl:lncRNA